rnacentral:rRNA from 1 species
UCGAGCGGAAACGAGUUAUCUGAACCUUCGGGGAACGAUAACGGCGUCGAGCGGCGGACGGGUGAGUAAUGCCUAGGAAAUUGCCCUGAUGUGGGGGAUAACCAUUGGAAACGAUGGCUAAUACCGCAUAAUACCUACGGGUCAAAGAGGGGGACCUUCGGGCCUCUCGCGUCAGGAUAUGCCUAGGUGGGAUUAGCUAGUUGGUGAGGUAAUGGCUCACCAAGGCGACGAUCCCUAGCUGGUCUGAGAGGAUGAUCAGCCACACUGGAACUGAGACACGGUCCAGACUCCUACGGGAGGCAGCAGUGGGGAAUAUUGCACAAUGGGCGCAAGCCUGAUGCAGCCAUGCCGCGUGUGUGAAGAAGGCCUUCGGGUUGUAAAGCACUUUCAGUCGUGAGGAAGGUAGUGUAGUUAAUAGCUGCAUUAUUUGACGUUAGCGACAGAAGAAGCACCGGCUAACUC